AAGACUAUACUUUCGGGGAUCAUUUCUGUAGUUUGCUACUAGAGAAGUUUCUCUGAACAUGUAGAGCCCUCAAAACCAUGAGGAGAAGGUGUAGUGUUCUCUCCUGAGUGUGAAGCUGGCUCUUGGUGUUGGUUUGUAACUGCCAUUAGCCAUUGAUGACCGUUUUUCUCUUCCUUUGGGAGAGUAAGAGGGAGAGGACACAGUCUGAGUGGC
ensembl:snoRNA U3 Small nucleolar RNA U3